rnacentral:rRNA from 1 species
UACGGAGGGUGCGAGCGUUGUCCGGAAUCACUGGGCGUAAAGGGCGCGUAGGCGGCCUGGUAAGUAGGGGGUGAAAUCCUGCGGCUUAACCGCAGGGCUGCCUUCUAAACUGUCAGGCUCGAGCACGGUAGAGGCAGAUGGAAUUCCCGGUGUAGCGGUGGAAUGCGUAGAGAUCGGGAAGAACAUCAGUGGCGAAGGCGGAUCUCUGGGCCUUACCUGACGCUGAGGCGCGAAAGCUAGGGGAGCGAACAGG